rnacentral:rRNA from 1 species
GACGUAGGGCGCGAGCGUUGUCCGGAAUUAUUGGGCGUAAAGAGCUCGUAGGCGGCUUGUUGCGUCGGCUGUGAAAACCCGCGGCUUAACCGUGGGCUUGCAGCCGAUACGGGCGGGCUAGAGUUCGGUAGGGGAGACUGGAAUUCCUGGUGUAGCGGUGAAAUGCGCAGAUAUCGGGAAGAACACCCGUGGCGAAGGCGGCUCUCUGGGACGGUACUGACGCUGAGACGCGAAAGCGUGGGGAGCGAACAGG